GAGGAAUAUUGGUCAAUGGACGGAAGUCUGAACCAGCCAAGUAGCGUGCAGGAUGACGGCCCUCCGGGUUGUAAACUGCUUUUAGUUGGGAAUAAAAAAAGGGACGUGUCCCUUAUUGUAUGUACCUUCAGAAAAAGGACCGGCUAAUUCCGUGCCAGCAGCCGCGGUAAUACGGAAGGUUCGGGCGUUAUCCGGAUUUAUUGGGUUUAAAGGGAGCGUAGGCCGGAGAUUAAGUGUGUUGUGAAAUGUAGACGCUCAACGUCUGACUUGCAGCGCAUACUGGUUUCCUUGAGUACGCACAACGUUGGCGGAAUUCGUCGUGUAGCGGUGAAAUGCUUAGAUAUGACGAAGAGCUCCGAUUGCGAAGGCAGCUGACGGGAGCGCAACUGACGCUGAAGCUCGAAGGUGCGGGUAUCGAACAGGAUUAGAUACCCUGGUAGUCCGCACAGUAAACGAUGGAUGCCCGCUGUUGGUACCUAGUAUCAGCGGCUAAGCGAAAGCAUUAAGCAUCCCACCUGGGGAGUACGCCGGCAACGGUG
rnacentral:rRNA from 1 species